GGGUCAGUAGGUUGGUCGUGCCACCGGUACGUACUGGUCUCACUGAUUCCUCCUUCCUGAAGAACCGUAAUGCCAUUAAUUUGGUGUUGCGGGGAAACAGGACUGUUACUUUGAAAAAAUUAGAGUGUUUAAAGCAAGCUAACGCUUGAAUACACUAGCAUGGAAUAAUGAAAUAGGACGAUCGAUCCUAUUUUGUCGGUUUCUAGGAUUGACGUA
rnacentral:rRNA from 1 species